AUUUCACAGGAGUAUUUUAAUGUUUGAAACCUAUGAAGGGGAAUUUUUUCUUAACUGAAAACCGAAGAGAUUUCCAACAUGUCAGGAGAACAAAUAACAUGAAGCACAGAUGAAGAUACUUCUGUUGCUGCUUCUGUAGAAGUUGGCGAAGCAUUUGCACCUCUUCAGAGAUUCACCUGUUUUUGGAAGAUCCAAAGAUGUUUUGUGACUGAUUCCAGGUUUCUGCAUAACCAUGCACUGGGAUUUCCUCAUUUCAAGCUAUGGAGGACCCUCUCCCUCUACGUGUCCUCAGAGCAGCAAAGAGACUGAAAACUGAAGGAUCUCAAGACCCACUGGUGGAAAUAAGAGUCCUCAAGGCUGACAUGACUUUCUCACAUGUUUCUUUUCAAAACUCCUUUCUGCACCUAUAGAAUCUUGAACAAUAACGUGACCUAUGGGAUUGUGUGGGAAUGAGAUCACUGUGCUUCACAACCCUCAGAGGCAGGCUGGAGGAAAGCUCCAUAAGUGAGAAGCGUCAAACUGAUCCAGGUUGCAGCCCCUGGAGAAGGUAGGAUUGGUUGAGUGCAGGGCUGUAGUGCUGCUCUGCACCCUCACCUCCUGGGACCUGGCCAAAGAUGUAUGCCAGAGACUUUUAAUAUGCUGUGACAAGUGAGUGCUGCAGAAAGGUCUGAAGACAGAUGACACUGGAGAAGGUCCAGGUUGGUGCUGUGAGGAUGCUGAGAUGUAGCCCUCCAUUAGAGAGCAUGAAGAAUGCUGGGAUGAGUGAACUGCACCCUCCCCUUCAGGUCUCGCCAGCUUGCUCGCUGUGUGUCAGCUCCUGCCUCUGCUCUCUUCUUCCACCCCCUUUUCUGAGGUGGGGCAGUUACAGCAUCCCCAGCUGUACCCACGGGAACUGCCCUUUCCCCAGAUGCCACCAGCCUUGAGCUGGCUUUCACAGGCUAAGAAUAAACUAGGCCUUUGGCUCUAGCUUACACAGUUACAAGCUUUGGAUUUGCCAAGUCAGGGAAAUUUAAAUUUGCCAACCGAAUCUGCUUCCAGGGGCUCUCUCAUUCUGAGUCAGCGCAGCUGGGAGGGAAUGGAGGACAACACCAGAGCCCGAUGCUGCUCAGUGGUACCUUUUCUCAGCACAGCCACCGACCAAUAGAAGGAGAAAAACAAUCAGUGACAGCUGCGUGUCACCAGAGAUGUGCAGACUGCAGUCCUAUGCUGUCUAAGAGCCCUAUAUUUUCAAAGAAAGCUUAAAUAGACAGACAACUAAUUAAAAAUGGGGGAGGGGAAAUGCCUUGAAUCUCAUCCUUCUUAUGGCAGAUACAAUCAUAAUGUUUCAGGUAAUUAGCUUUGCCUGAGCUGAUGAUCUCUCAUUUUGGGAGUGUAUAAAAUCUAUGAGUAGUGAUAUGAGGCAACCUGCAAGUCUCCAUGCCUAGCUCUAGAGUUCUCUCUGUACUCCUCUAUCUCCUCUGAAUCGUACCUCCUCUCCUGGGGAAAGGCUCACUGGUGCUUAUCAGAUUCAAUUACUGCUGUUUCAUAUCAAUGUUCUCAUGUGAAAUCAGAAUACAAAUAACACAGAACUACCUCCAUGCCCCUAAACAAUUACAAAUGCUGAUGAUUCACCAGUUAUUCAUGCCAAACCAAUAUUUUUCAGUAUUUUACAGAUCGUGAGCUAGCCAUUUUAAUAUGUUCAGGCUGAAAUCACUGGCAUGCCAGAAAGACAAAUAGUGCAGAAGGCCACUCUGCUUGAGGAUGCAUGGCGCACUCAGUUGCUGUCACACAGCCACACACAGCUCUUUUCCUGGUAGGUUUGUGGGUAAUGAAAGGCAUGUUUGCUUUCAAGGAAAUUUAGAUACAUGGUAAAGUUAAUCCAUUCUGUUACCAUGCUCCCAUGGAAGAGGGACUCACUUUGUCCUCCCACCCCAGCAGCCAUCCCUUGACACAGCACAGCUCCUACCUACCACUGUGGUUCUUUCCCAGCUCUUCCCCAUUUUGGGGCUGAAUCUAGAUUCACUUCUCUAGAGCUCUCCUCAAGCUGUCCCAGGUGAGAGUAUAAUCUGUCCUGUCAUGCCAGGCUCCAUCACUAUUGCCACCAGCAGCAUGGCAGGUGCAGCUGUUCAUUAAUUUUGCUAUAAAAACUGAAAUUGGAGUUGUCAAUGCUGAAAAUGUUAAGGACUGGGGGAACUGUAAUAAAUGCUGAGGCUUAAAACACACGCCUAGGCUCCCUGAAACCUGAGCUCAUGGCUUUAGUGAAGGAAGGUAACUGACACUGGACUGUGUGCUCACAUGGGUGAGGAGCAACCCAGUGCUAUCGAAUUUAAGGGAGACCCAUUUAUGGGUCAUCCCAAGUAUGUUCUGCUGUCAUGGAGAUUGGUCACUUUCAGCAGUGGUAAAUGAGACCUGCCCUUUAUCUGAUGUUUCUAUCAGAUGCAAUUUUUCAGUAUAUAUACAAUGAAAAGUCAUGUGCUGAAGCUUAUGCUCCUUUCUUCUGGUGUGCAAAAGGAAUUUAAUUCACUGCAUAUGGAUAACCCAUUUGUUUACAGUCAAGUUAAGUACAAAGCCAGCUAUUAAGCUUUGCUGUCACCUUUAAUAAAUGGUUUCACAAGAUAAUAACUCUGUGCAGCUACACCCAAGGGCCAUCAGCAUUUUUAAACCCUCUUUAUGUGUCAAGAAAAAGCCACACUGUAACAGCCAAC
ensembl:lncRNA